UACGUAGGGGGCAAGCGUUGUCCGGAUUCAUUGGGCGUAAAGAGCGUGUAGGCGGCCAGGCAGGUCCGCUGUGAAAACUCGAGGCUCAACCUCGAGAUGUCGGUGGAAACCGUCUGGCUAGAGUCCGGAAGAGGAGAGUGGAAUUCCCGGUGUAGCGGUGAAAUGCGCAGAUAUCGGGAAGAACACCCGUGGCGAAGGCGGCUCUCUGGGACGGUACUGACGCUGAGACG
rnacentral:rRNA from 1 species